rnacentral:lncRNA from 1 species
CCUGACAGCUCAAAAAUCACAAAAUCGUAGCGUAUGAUCUGCUGAAGAUCUUCUGCAGGGUUAAAGAGGAAAUGCUCCCUCCAUUCAUUCCAGUCCAGAGUCAUGGUUCCAUCCACAUCAAUGCUGGAGGAUAAAGGGUCAAAGGUCAAAUCAGAACAAUUUCCUGUGUGAUCAAUCUAUACUUGAGUUUAAUCUGUGAAUCUGCAGAAAAGGUUAAUGAUAUUUCUUCCUUGACCUCAUAUACAGUACACCGUUAAAGACAUAAAUAUUAGCCCUUCUCUAAAACUUUAAAGUCCAUGUCAAAUCUAAAUCUUGAAUUUGCUAGCUCACAUUGUUAUUUGUAAAGUUCAUAAUUAAUCUGUGCCAGUUAAUCCUCAGGGAAAAAUAAGUUUGUUCUGGUUAUUUUUAAUCGAAGUUUCUUUGGAGCAGGGAGGUCAAAACCCGGGGGCUUCCAUACCAACUGCACAGUAUAUCAAUAACCUUAGCCAUGCCUCUCUUACCAUUACUUUGCUAUGAGAGAAUGAUGUGCCAAAAGAAAGUCCCACGCCAUAAUCAAUAUUCCAUUUGAGUUGAAAGUACAUCAACAUACUGAAAUAAAAGUCUCAGCA